CCUAAUUAUUUUCAUUCCCUCUUCUCUGCACAUCUCUCCAUUCUCUCUCUUCCUUUCUCUCUUGUAUCUCUUUUCAAAUGUCGGCUAUCCAUUCAAACUCCGACAACCAGCAAUGAAGAAGCUGCUUUGGCCGAUACAACACCACAAGCACUCGUCGUCGAAUGAUAAUUUAUUUUUAAAAAACCUUUAAAAAUCCAAUCACACGACGUGAAGCCACGCGAUCGCUCACGGCGUCUGUUGCUUAGCGAAGGAGGAAGAUAACCUCAAAAAAUAUCACUAAAUCAUGCUCAAUGGCGCAACAAUUGCUCAUAAUGGACCUUUCGUGCAACACUGCAAGUUGAGGUAGAUGGUCAACGUUUUAGAUCUCUAGUCACAGGUGGCUAUUUUAUCUCUGGAUGGCGCUGGACAAGUGGGUGAUGCUGCAGAUGGAGUAGGGGUAGAGAAGGGGUGGUGGUGCUGGUAUGAGGUAGAGGCAGAGGCGAACAAGUUCUCAUUUUUUCAUAAUUUGAUUUCUCCGCAUAGAUCUGUGGAGUUGUGAUUUGUGGUGGUCAACGGUAGAAGUUUGGUGUGGUUCGUGAUCAUUGUUGUGGCAAUAGUGUUGGUGCGAUGCAAUAGUGGUAGGGUAGUGGUGUACUAUGCAGUGAGAUGUUGGUGGUGAUAGGUCUAUUGGGUGGUGGUAGAUUUUGUUGAUUAAAAUUUUA
rnacentral:lncRNA from 1 species